CCUACGGGAGGCAGCAGUGAGGAAUAUUGGUCAAUGGGCGAGAGCCUGAACCAGCCAAGUCGCGUGAAGGAUGAAGGAUCUAUGGUUUGUAAACUUCUUUUAUAUGGGAAUAAAGUGAGGAACGUGUUCCUUUUUGUAUGUACCAUAUGAAUAAGCAUCGGCUAACGCCGUGCCAGCAGCCGCGGUAAUACGGAGGAUGCGAGCGUUAUCCGGAUUUAUGGGGUGUAAAGGGUGCGUAGGUGGUUAAUUAAGUCAGCGGUGAAAGUUUGUGGCUCAACCAUCAAAUUGCCGUUGAAACUGGUUGAGUUGAGUAUAUUUGAGGUAGGCGGAAUUCGUGGUGUAGCGGUGAAAUGCAUAGAUAUCACGCAGAACUCCGAUUGCGAAGGCAGCUUACUAAACUAUAACUGACACUGAAGCACGAAAGCGUGGGGAGCAAACAGGAUUAGAUACCCUAGUAGUC
rnacentral:rRNA from 1 species